AAAUAUUUUGUUGUAAUUAAAUAGAAAUUGGGGGAAGAAAACUUCGAAUCCAAUUAGCCUUGUCGUCGAUGUUAGUAUAUUAAUUUGCAGAUUGCAGACACCCAAACCUUCGAUGUUAGUAUAUUAAUUUGCAGAUUGCAGAUUGCAGAUUGUCGUCGAUGUUAGUAUAUUAAUUUGCAGAUUGUCGCAGAUUGUAGAUUGCAGAUUGCAGAUUGCAGAUUGUCGUCGAUGUUAGUAUAUUAAUUUGCAGAUUGUCGCAGAUUGUAGAUUGCAGAUUGCAGAUUGCAUAUUAAUUUGCAGAUUGCAGAUUGCAGAUUGUCGCAAAUAGCAGAUUGCAGAUUGCAGAUUGUAGAUUGCAGAUUGUCGUCGAUGUUAGUAUAUUAAUUUGCAGAUUGCAGAUUGUAGAUUGCGGA
rnacentral:lncRNA from 1 species